GAUUGGGGUGAAGUCGUAACAAGGUAGCCGUAGGAGAACCUGCGGCUGGAUCACCUCCUUU
rfam:Clostridium colicanis DSM 13634 CLCO_contig000056, whole genome shotgun sequence.